GCCAGGUGCAGUGGUGCAUGCCUAUAAUCCCAGCAGCUCGGGAGGCUGAGACACGAGGAUCGCGAGUUCAAAGCUGGGCUUCAGCAAUUUAGCAAGGAGUGCCCAAGAAAUUUUGUGAGAUCCUGUCUCUA
rnacentral:sRNA from 1 species